rnacentral:rRNA from 1 species
AUGGAAUCAAGCGUGUGUAUGUUAGCAAGUACUCCUACCCUGCAGGAGAGCAUCUCGACGGUGCAGUCGUCGCCGGUCGGGGUGACGCGGAGGUCCAGGACCGGGGCGACCUGGAAGCCGAGGAAGCCCAUGGGGUGCAGCGUGCACCUGAAAGCGCCGGCCGGGCCCGACUCCGACUCCGGCUCCACCAGCGCGAAGCUCUGCAGCGCCCGGGUGUUGAGCAGGGACUCCACGCCGGCGGGGUGCCGCAGGAACUCGCCGAUGCCGCCCUGGCCCGGCAGCACGUCCAGGAGCCUGAUGCUCUCCCGCCGCCGCGCCGACAGCCGGGCCCGCCUCCCCGACGGCGUCGUCGCCACCGUCGACACGGACUGGCCGCGCUCAUCGCUGCCUGCCGACGCGGCUCGCCAUGACCGGCCAGCGCGCCUCGACUUCUUGGGCGGCUUGCAUGGAUCGGUUGCUGCUGCUGCCCUUGAUGAUUCCGGGAACGGGAAUGGUUGGUGUCUGGCGAGGAGGAAGGAGGGCUUGGCUGCUGCUGCGGUGGGCCUCAUCCCAUCGCCUGGAUCUUCUAGGACGCAGCGGCUUUACCUGUUCAUGGACAUGGACUCAUGGAGUGACAGAGGGCUCAGGGCCAAGCGGAGCCAGCCACUGAUGGAGCUUAUCGUUUCUGCGCCUGCAUCGAACUCGUCUCUGCGCUAA